rnacentral:sRNA from 1 species
GCUAGGCACAGUGGCUCAUGCCUGUAAUCCGAGAACCUUAGGAGGCUGAGGCAGGAGGAUCAAGAGUUCAAACCCAGGCUCAGCAACUUAGUGAGGCCCUAGGCAACACAUUGAGACCCUGUCUCUA